UUGCCAGCCCGCUCAGAAACUUAAAGGAAUUGACGGGGGCCCGCACAAGCGGUGGAGUAUGUGGUUUAAUUCGAUGCAACGCGAAGAACCUUACCUGGUCUUGACAUCCCGGAGACCCUUAGGAAACUAGGGGGUGCUUCCAUCUGGAAGAAUCUGGAGACAGGUGCUGCAUGGCUGUCGUCAGCUCGUGUCGUGAGAUGUUGGGUUAAGUCCCGCAACGAGCGCAACCCUUGCCUUUAGUUGCCAGCAGUUCGGCUGGGCACUCUAAAGGGACUGCCGGUGUUAAACCGGAGGAAGGUGGGGAUGACGUCAAGUCCUCAUGGCCUUUAUGACCAGGGCUACACACGUACUACAAUGGCCGAUACAAAGGGCAGCGACACUGCGAGGUGAAGCCAAUCCCGUAAAAUCGGUCUCAGUCCGGAUUGGAGUCUGCAACUCGACUCCAUGAAGUUGGAAUCGCUAGUAAUCGUGGAUCAGCAUGCCACGGUGAAUACGUUCCCGGGCCUU
rnacentral:rRNA from 1 species